GCAUGGCCGAAUUCUGUUUUACUCUUGCAGUAGUAAGUGCAGUCAGACACCAUGCUAAAUUAAUGUUUUCACACGCUGACUCAACAACAGAGUAAGGAUGCUAAGCAUGUGCCUCAUUCUGAUGUCAGAGUGGAUACAGAA